GUCUUUUUCAGUCCAUCUGUAUGUUUUUCCGCAUGUGUGUCCCUUCCACAAUCAGCUUAUUUCACCCAGUCUGCCUGUCUAAGCUUGCCUUCCAGUCUUCCUCAAGCUCUUUGGGGUCAAUACUUCAAAUUCCAAAUUGUAAAAUAUGAAUAGCAUAUGGCAGAUUCUGACCAUCAAGCAGAGCAGUCGCAUAAACCCAGAGCUCCGUGCAAUCAACCAAUUUUAAAACAAUUUACAGUUUAUCUGCUGGGCUGAUCAGGG